CCCCCUUUCUUGCCCUGUGAACAUCUAGCUCUUCUCUCUCUCUCUCUCUCUCUCUCUCUCUCUCUCUCUCUCUCUCUCUCUGUGUGUGUGUGUGUGUGUGUGUGUGUGUUUCUCCCUGCUUUCCACAGAUUUUGCAAAUUUACAUUUAUUCUCCAUUUUGCCUGCCCCCUAUUUUCAUUUGUUUGAAAUUCCAAGAGCCUCCGCUCUGAAGCCUGAAGACUUUCCCCUUCCAAAGAAGAAGUCCUCCGGAGCCCUGGGUGACAAGUGUCAGGAUGGUUUCUUUGGAGACUUGUUUUUCAUCUCGGUGGUUCUGAGGCGUACAGGCGUGAUAAAACACAGAUGGAGAGGAGCAGACAACGUUGUCGCGCGCGCAGAAGACAUCGCACCACGUUGUACGUUUUCGGAAAUCUUGGAAGACCUCAGGAUGUAAAUGGCUCACCUUGCGGAUUGUGUCCUGCAACCACGAAUGUCUCCAUGCUCCCUUAACCGAGACUAGGAGGAGGACACAUCAGGCUCUACUGACCGGCGGACUUGGGGCCAGGGUUUGGCAGCUGUCGCAGCCAGAACUGUGAGCGUUCACCAAAAUGCCGUUGUUGCUCUGCUCCCAAAUAACAGCACUUCUGAGACACAAAAGGUGCCUUUGUCCCCAGACCCCACUCCCCACCCUUCCACCCCCCACCCCCACCCUCCCAUCCCCACCACCCCCACCCCGUUGCAACUCCAUCAGCAACUCACACUGCAUCGUCCUCCCUCCCCUGUAAAAAUACUCCACGUAGGACUCUAGGUUCUGCAAGCCUACCGAACUUAUCCUGACCUAAUUUCCUCAUGGAAGAAAGACCAGAACCAAUAACCUUCUUGUCCCCCUGAAAGACCCCAAGAACUGAAGCUUCCUACCCAACCACACAGUUCCUCUCCCCACCCACCCACCCUCUACCAAUCUUCUCUCCACGUCUCCAUCUUCUUCAUCUCCAUCCAUUCCCGCCCGUCCAGCCUCUCCAUCCGACCGCCUGUCCCUCCCCACCUUGGGCAUCCAUUCACCCCCAGGUUUUCAUGGCCCCCAAGGGCCGUUCCCUUCCUUCGUUUCCCUGCACAAUCUCUCUUUGUUCUCAGCAUGGACUCCAUUUUCUCCUCCUCUCUCCUCUGCUGCUUGAGGUUAAGAACAUGCCAUGGCAUUCCAUAAAUUACUUGGCAAGAGUGGAUGACAAGAACAGAGUGUAAUUCAGAUUAAAGUCGCCCUCCAGCUGAAAUGAUAGUUUAUUAAAUAAACGGCAAUGCUGCCUAUCAACUUUGCUGGCAACUGGCCUCUUAUAUUAAUCUUCCUCGGGAUGAUUUAGGAUCCACCUGGGUCCUCCGAGAAGAUUCUCCCCUCAUUUCCGUCCCAUCUCUCUGGAUCAGGCUGCUGGGCCUGGUGCAGUUGACAAAUUCCCCAAGUAAUCCCUCAAAAGAUUGGAGAACGCUCGGAACGCUCCAUUAAAUUUAUUCUCCAUGCUUUAAGAGACCCAAACUAUGUCCAAUAAAUAAGUGUCCCUGUGAUUUACUGAAAUGCUGCUCUGAUUUAAAGUUAUAGGGGGAAAAUAUAGAGCCCCUGGGAGCCCAGGACCAGCCUUGCAAGUGAGACCAGAUGUGAGAUUUCUGUCCAGGGAGGGGAGAAGAAG